CGAACGGGUGAGUAAUGCGUGACCAACCUGCCCCAUGCUCCAGAAUAGCUCUUGGAAACGGGUGGUAAUGCUGGAUGCUCCAACUUGACGCAUGUCUUGUUGGGAAAGUGUUUAGUGGCAUGGGAUGGGGUCGCGUCUUAUCAGCUUGUAGGCGGGGUAAUGGCCCACCUAGGCUUCGACGGGUAGCCGGCCUGAGAGGGCGGACGGCCACAUUGGGACUGAGAUACGGCCCAGACUCCUACGGGAGGCAGCAGUU
rnacentral:rRNA from 1 species